CUGAGCCAUGCCUUAUGGCUCGGAGUGACUUAUCUCCCCCAUCACCGCGAUCUUUGGAGCCACAGGCUUCGAUGCCUUUACGAGGCAGUGCGACGGGCAGUCUGUGUGUGUUCGCCGCGCAGAGUAUUUCGCCGGAGAGCCUGAAGACUAAAUUUUCCUGCCUGUUGUAAGGACCUGUGCAAGGAGGACCUAGUGAAGCUGUGCGAGAAGUUUCGGGUAAAUGCGACCGGUCCGCUGUCCGAGCUUCGUGGCCUUUUUUGAGAACACAGCAGGAGCAGGAAAUUUCGACGAUUCAUGUGGAGGUAAUUUAUUCUACCAGUGACCUGAGGAGGGCCAGAGUACAAACAAUAAUUCACUCUUUGUAAGUUUGGCCACUGACCAUGAGAAGGAUUAAAUCAUCUCAACCACAACAUAGUCAAGUGGUCUUAGUAACUGUAGUAACUUUGACCUUAUGAAACUAUGUCAUGACCAAUCUGUCCAUAAACCUAAGGCGAUGGCUUGAUAACGUGAUUGAUUAAAGUGAGUUUUGAGAGA